rnacentral:rRNA from 1 species
UACGGAAGGCAGCAGUGGGGAAUAUUGCACAAUGGGCGCAAGCCUGAUGCAGCCAUGCCGCGUGUAUGAAGAAGGCCUUCGGGUUGUAAAGUACUUUCAGUCGUGAGGAAGGUGUUAAGGUUAAUAACCUUAGCAAUUGACGUUAGCGACAGAAGAAGCACCGGCUAACUCCGUGCCAGCAGCCGCGGUAAUACGGAGGGUGCGAGCGUUAAUCGGAAUUACUGGGCGUAAAGGGCACGCAGGCGGUUAAUUAAGUUGGAUGUGAAAUCCCCGGGCUUAACCUGGGAAUGGCAUUCAAGACUGGUUAGCUAGAGUCUUGUAGAGGGGGUUAGAAUUCCAUGUGUAGCGGUGAAAUGCGUAGAGAUGUGGAGGAAUACCGGUGGCGAAGGCGGCCCCUGGGACAAGACUGACGCUCAUGUGCGAAAGCGUGGGGAGCGAAACAGGGAUUAGAU